GGCUGUGGGGGCGGGGUGGGUCCGGGGCGCGCUCACCGGAUCGCCGGCGAGCUACGGCUACCACCCGUCAUCUCUUUUCAGCUAAUCUGCUUCGCGCUACUUUUUUGAGGUGGGCACCUGGGAUGGAGGCAAGGAAUCACGAAGUGGCGUCUCCUCGGAAGGGGCAGCCUGAUGUCUUUAACCACUGAACUGUGGUUUCCAACUGGAUGCGCUUUGGGUUCAGGGCUAAGACACGCGUAGGCGGUGCAGACAGUUCAAUUCGUGGGCGGCUUUUUCUCUCCCCUGCGCGGUUUUGCAGAACUGAGGAUUCACGUUUGCCACGCAGUCUCUAAAUCCUCCUCCCAGCCCUCGCCGGAUUUCUGCAUCGGAAUUGGAUUGGAUCACACACAAAAGAAGAGCCCAGGAACUCGUUCACCACCUUGCACCUUGCCUGUUAGUUCACGGCAUAAUGGUAACAGAGUCUUCAUUAAUGGAAGCAACGUUACUACCGUGAGCCCGGAUAGCUCAGUCGGUAGAGCAUCAGACUUUUAAUCUGAGGGUCCAGGGUUCAAGUCCCUGUUCGGGCGGUAUCUUUUUUUUCCUCAUUAAAAGAGUAAGAACCAAUUUUAGGAUCUUUUGUUUGUUAACACACUGCAAAAGAAGGGAAUAAAGUCCUGGAUUGUGUAAA
ensembl:lncRNA LINC02739 long intergenic non-protein coding RNA 2739